rnacentral:rRNA from 1 species
AUUGAACGCUGGCGGCAUGCCUUACACAUGCAAGUCGAACGCGAAAGCGGGGCAACCCGCAAGUAGAGUGGCGAACGGGUGAGUAAUACAUCGGAACAUAUCCAGUAGCGGGGGAUAACCUGUCGAAAGAUAGGCUAAUACCGCAUACGACCUACGGGUGAAAGCGGAGGACCGCAAGGCUUCGCACUAUUGGAGUGGCCGAUGUCGGAUUAGCUAGUUGGCGGGGUAACGGCCCACCAAGGCGACGAUCCGUAGCUGGUCUGAGAGGACGACCAGCCACACUGGAACUGAGACACGGUCCAGACUCCUACGGGAGGCAGCAGUGGGGAAUUUUGGACAAUGGGCGCAAGCCUGAUCCAGCCAUGCCGCGUGAGUGAAGAAGGCCUUCGGGUUGUAAAGCUCUUUCGGCGGGAACGAAAUGGUUCGUGCUAAUACCACGGACUAAUGACGGUACCCGAAGAAGAAGCACCGGCUAACUACGUGCCAGCCGCCGCGGUAA